CCACUCACGACGGCACCACUAACGCUUUGUUGAUUAGGACGGAUUGUGCCGCUGAUUUGUGCCUCAAUUUGUCGUGCUCAAAUUGUUUAUUAAAUAUUACGGUGUUAAUGGUAGGAGGACCGUGUCAAACAUGUAGUAAAUCAGGAUAAAGUAUUUAAUGCUGCAAUUUGAAUAUAUCCUGAAAAAAGUAGAAAUUCUAUUGAUUGACUUCGUAAUAUUGGCCCUUGUAGUAUCUAAAGCAGGGAAUAUACAGUUUCUCGACUAGAGACCACGUAGCUAUCCAGCUCCUAUUGGAAAGUGGCUUCCAGAAGACGACACUGUGUCUCAACAGAACAAGUCGUUAAACUGGCGAAGUUCCGUGAGAAGAAAGGUAAUACUGUUCCUUCUCAACUUCGAUAUUGACGUGCAUAAUAAGAUAGGUAUGUACGAAUAGGACGUAGGAUAUUCUCUACAAAGAAGACACUCCACAUAACAUCAACACGAAACCUUUAUAUCCGAAGCGUCCAGCUUCCGGUAUUCCGACUUGUUUAAGAUAAACUUACGGUGGAGACGAUAACUCGGAUCAUAUGGUAUAGUAUUCCUUCUACGGACUCCAAAACAUCGACUUAAUGCUGCAUACGAACCAUUCUAUCUUCUAAUGUAUGAUUGCAACUAGAAGCAGUAUAUUCGACGAUGAAAGUUCGAAAGUCUAUACACAACAACGCAGGAGUAGCAAGCUAAUCACUAAUUAGAAGUCCAUGGUAUAACUGACAACUUUGGAUUCGCUCCAAAAUGAAAUGAAGCAAUAUUAAAGGCUAUAAAAUAUAAGCAAAUAAGGAGCAAAUUAGUAGGUAAACUUAACGCAGUGUUUAGCUGAAAAAUUCGAAAGAUCUACGUCGAACGAUUAUGUAAGGUUAGCCAGCAGAUUUCGUCUUCAUCAAAAUAUUACAAAUCAACAUUCUUCAAUCUCCGUAUUUUGUCAUACUUCGAUUUUGUUCAUGUCAGUGACAUGAUAAUUCCGCGCUCAUUGUUAAUGUGAAACGAUUUUUUAUUCCCAAAAUAAUGAAAAAUAUUAUAGUCAAUGGUUUUUCUUAAAAUAAUAGUAAGAUUUGUAUCUUGAGUCCUAGAUUUUAUGUAAAGCAUCUUCAUGAUUCUUUCAGACUUUUGGUUAGGUAGUUUUUAAAAACAGACUGUAAAAUUUUGAGUCAAUAUUUUUUAUACUCUCCACUGUAACCAACGUUGAAAGUAAGAUCUUCAUUUGACACAUCAUUGCAUUGAUAAAAAGUAAAAAAAGUGUGAAAUAUAUCAUGCGGUUAGGACGUUAAAGAAUCAAAUCAAGGAUAUGAAUUUAUAUAUGAAAAUAAAAUUAUUAAUAAACUGAA